CCUACGGGUGGCAGCAGUGAGGAAUAUUGGUCAAUGGACGAGAGUCUGAACCAGCCAAGUAGCGUGAAGGAUGACUGCCCUAUGGGUUGUAAACUUCAUUUAUAAAGGAAUAAAACGAGGCACGUGUGCAUUAUUGCAUGUACUAUAUGAAUAAGGAACGGCUAACUCCGUGCCAGCAGCAGCGGUAAUACGGAGGAUCCGAGCGUUAUCCGGCUUUAUUGGGUUUAAAGGGAGCGUAGAGGGGUUGUUAAGUCAGUUGUGAAAGUUUGCGGCUCAACCGUAAAAUUGCACUUGAUACUGGCAGUCUUGCUUACAGUUGAGGUCGGCGGACUUCGUGGUGUAGCGGUGACAUGCUUAGCUCUCAC
rnacentral:rRNA from 1 species